rnacentral:lncRNA from 1 species
GUUAAUGAGAAUGAUCCAGAAGGGAGGAGAAGCUAAUGGUGCAGUGGAGAGCAGAGUCCCUGAGCAGGGAGAUUAUCCUGGAUUCUCCAGGGGGCUGGUGUCAUCACAAGGAUCUUUAAAAGUAGAAGUAAGGAGGAGACGUGACCAAGGAAGAAGGGUCAGAGAGACGCAAUGCUUCCGAGGAACUCUGAGGAUGGAGGAAGGGACCAUCCUCCAAGGAAUGUGGGUGGCCCCUGAAUGAAGAGGCAGGAGAAGGCACACAGCCCUGCCUGCCAACACCUUGAUCUUAGCCCAGUGAAUCCUGACAGACUUCUAACCCGUGGAACUGCAAGACAAUAAUCGUGUGUUUGAAGCCACCAAGAGUGUGGUCGUUGGUUUUGGCAGCCAUAGAAAAGUAAUACAGUGGGUCAGGGAUCCGGGUGGGAAGGAGACAGCCCUCAGAGAAGGGAUCCGGGUGGGAAGGAGACAGCCCUUAGAGAAGGGAUCCGGGUGGGAAGGAGACAGCCCUCAGAGAAGGGCUUGUGGGGAGCCUGGGGGUGCUGGGAGAGGAGCUGGUGUGAAACAACCAGCUGGCUGGGAAGCUGGUGGCCCCAGGCUGCACCGCAGGCAAGAGCAGCUCUCAGCCCCAGGAGGCCAACAGUGGUCACUGGUGUGGGAGCCAGUUACAUUUCCAAAAGAAGCUGCACUUGAGGAUUACUGUGAAGCUGACUUUAGGGCUGGAGGGGCACAGGGCCAGAGUUCUGGGUUAGUGGCUUCUGACUCUGGUCCUAGCAACGCUUUUACUCCAGGUCAGCCUCCUGCACCUUGCCUCCUGGGCUUCCCCUUGACCCCCUCCUAGGGCAUCUGGGAAGGUGUGAUGAGUGGACUUGAGAGGUGAAAGUUGUUCCUUUGAAGCAGUCCAUGGCUGAUGCUCCCUGAAUGGCAUGAGAGCUCAUUGGCAUGGCCUCUGGGUGCUACUGGAAACCAGGGCUUUCAGGAUGGCCCGUUAUCCAUCCGUGUCCUGGUGGGUACAUCCUACAUCAGCCUGUCUGAGGACAUUAAAAUAAUCCCAGGAAUGAUA